rnacentral:rRNA from 1 species
GUGUCAGCAGCCGCGGUAAUACGGGGGGGGCAAGCGUUGUUCGGAAUUACUGGGCGUAAAGGGCUCGUAGGCGGCCAACUAAGUCAUACGUGAAAUCCCUCGGCUUAACCGGGGAACUGCGUCUGAUACUGGAUGGCUUGAGUUCGGGAGAGGUAUGCGGAAUUCCAGGUGUAGCGGUGAAAUGCGUAGAUAUCUGGAGGAACACCUGUGGCGAAGGCGGCCAUCUGGACGGUAACUGACGCUGAGGAGCGAAAGCCAGGGGAGCAAACGGGAUUAGAUACCCCGGUAGUCC